GCAUGUUGACCGGCUUGUAGAUAAUGGGAAAGAGUUAGCAUCAGAUAAGGGUAAUCAACUGUUUUCAAAAAUCAAUACUCAAAAUAGUGCAGAAACUUUGCCGGAUUCAUGAAAAAUAUAAAAGAGUUUGUUUUUCAAAUUUUGGUUUUGACAAAUUUGCCCGAACUACGCCAGUUUGAUUAUCACCGGACGUGAGAUACGUAGGCAUCCUCCAUCGGGUCCAACUUCCCUUUUUCAAAACUAACCAAAAACAAAAAAUUUUGAUCUUCGUCACAAAUAAGUAGGGUGAUCCCAUUCUUGCUUAAAAUAAGCAGAAUGUCCCCAAAAAAGCGACGGAAGGCUGUUUAUGCAAGAACAACCAUCUUGAUUCAUUUCUAACGGUUGGCUGGCACAGCCUCAAAAUCUUCUC
rnacentral:lncRNA from 1 species